GAAUAAACACAAAACACUUCAUAUCGGUUUUUUUUUCCCCAAGUGUUCAUCCAAAACUCAAACAUCUUUCACCCUUACACGGUUUCACUCUCGUAACAACCUAUCGCCUCAAACCCUUACAUUAGUAACAGCGUUGAUUUUGUCUCAUGUCCCGGCAUCGAUUUUGCCUUGUCCCCCGCUAUCGAUUUGGCCAUCAUCGAGAUCCACAUGAGGAACCCACUGAACGUGUGCUGCUAUCGUUGCAUUUCAAAACCCUAACUGAAAACCCACCAUUGAUUAAGCUCAAUUUUUUUUAUUAACACAGGUAAUUAUUCUCCUUAUUUUCUCUUGCAUGUCAAUUUAAUUAAAAUUUUUUGCCAAUUUCAACACUAAAGGUGUAGUUCUAAGCACUAAAGGUUUAUCUCAAAUUUGUUCACUGUGUUAGAAAAAUGGAAUUUUUCCUUUUGUGCUCAAAUGUACUAGUUUGUUGAAAUGAACGAAAUCUGAACCUAUAGAAUGAUUUCGGUUUUGUUCUUGUGCGGCUAAUCACCUUAACAUUUUGUUCAGUCUUCAAAUUGGGGAUCCAAUUAUUUUCUUCUCAGUUCUUGUGCGGUCGAUCUUCUUUGUUGGCCGAGGGCUUUGCACCUAUGCUUCCAUUGAUGUUAUCGCAGCAGCACAGUCGAUUUGGGUCUUUUAAUACUUGAUUCUUUGAGGAAAAGUAACAUGUCUGCUUCAUGGACAUUUGUUGGAGCAAAGACUUUAGUAGAUAAUAAUGCUACUUCUGAGGUUAGCAUGACUUUGAUGCUCUGUUUUUGUAUGCAUUUAGUUACUGUACAAUUUUUGUUGCAAAGGCCUUACUGCUUAGCUUAGUUUUGCUUACUCAAUUAGUUAUAAUUUUUUUAAUUUGGCUGUGGUUUUUUGCAAAAUUUCUUUCCAAUCCAUAUUAGUUCACCUUUCUGACCAACUUGGAUAUAAAGACUGCGUCUAUUGGCUGUGGUUUUUUGCAAAAUGUCGUUCCAAUCCAUAUUAUAUAUUAUUAAUCUUUCAUUUGCAAUUGGUAUCGUAUGAAUAGCUUCAAUAUUGAAAUUUUAAUGAGUUUUUGAAGCUGGCUGUAGGAUGUGCAAGAAUUUAUUUUACCUUUCUGACCAACCUGGAUAUAUUAUUAAAACUCUAUCUAUUAGCUAUGUUUUUUGCAACGUUUCUUUUCAAUUCCUAUGAUUUACUUAUCAAUCUAUGCUCCAGAGCCUUAUGCCAAGAAUGGUUUUGCAUUUUAAUCAUAUUUCCUGCUACUCAAUGCGAUGAUUUUAUUUUUCACUCGGUGGACAGAGAGUUGGGUUUUACCUUUUCAUUUUCUAUUAGCAAACAUCAAUGGCAUCAUGAGAUCUUAUACAAUGGACUAAGGGCUGCUCUAAAGAGGAUAUGGUUAAUCGUACUUUCUCUACUCCUAUUUUGUAGCAUUUUAAUAAUGAUCCUACAACUAGAUAAUUGUAGUUGUAGCUUCCAGACUUGUUGAUUGUCCAAAAUAAGUGUUAACUGUAUUGAUAGUUUGUCUGCAUUGAUAGUUUGUCAUUCUUGCAUACAAAUAGACACUUUAGGUAUCAUAUAAAGCUGCAAAAAUUAGGGCUUGCGAGGAAUUGUUUGAUGCAAUUUUCAGAUGUUUCAUUGUAGUAUAUUUGCAUAUUUUCAUCCAUCAAAAUUUUUAUUCAAUAAUAUGAUUUACUUUUAUCAGAUCAUUGUAAACAUAUGAAAAAGUCACCUUUCACAAUGAUAGUAACCUUUUUGCUUUGUUUUAGAAUUACUUUGAUUUCCCUAUAUUACUUUUGAUUUGCAUAUCAGCAUCUUAAAAUUUGUUGCUAUUCUAGUCUUAUACUUAAGUAGUCAACAUACACAUCAAUACUUUCAUUACUAAAGAAAUUUAGUUUAGUCUGUGCCUUUGCUUAUAGUUAGCAGUCAAAUCUUUCAUCUGAUUUGCAGUGUUUCAUUCUCCAUUCAAGCACGUAGGAGUUAAGAUUGCUUGAAAAGCUUUCCAUGAGGAAAGGCGUGAACUUCAUUUCUUUGAUGAAUUUACUAAUUUACUUUUAUCACUUGCUUACACUUAGAAUUAAUUAUAUCAUACAUUGCCUCAAAAUCACUUUAGGUACUCAAGUCUUAUUUUCAAAACACCAAAAUCUCAUUCAAUUCUUUUUAAUGCAGCCUUAUAUACUUACACUUUUGUUUAGACCUUAUGGAAUUCUUAUAAUUGAUAUGACAACCUCUACUAUGUAUUACUUGGAUUCAAUAGUUAGUGUAGCACACGUGCAUGCAAUUAGAGCGGCCAGCUGCAUGUUUGCUUGCUUCACUGAUAUCUUUGGAUUUUGAUUGUGCUUAAAGCCAAACCAAAAAGCUAUGCAUAUCAUAAAAGAAGCUCCAUCGCAUCACAUCAGUGAGCUUUCAAAAAAGUCUGUGGUAAUUGCAAGAGAGAUGUUUUAAGAUCAUUUUCCCCACCAUGUUUUGAUGAUGUUAUAUUUACUUGUGCAGUUACCUAGCUUGUUACACUUGCUAUGUUGGAAUUUGAUGAAGAUGGUGGGUAUUGCUGGAGUUGGCCAUCUUUUUCUUUGACACAAAAACAGGUCCUGAGUAUUGGUGCAUCUUUGCACAUUUUUAGCUUCUUCUUAGAUUGGUAUUUGCUGUAUGCUUCACUAAAACUGCUAGAAUGAAUUUUUUUUUUUUUUUGGUCUGAUCAGUGUUGUUGGCUUUGUUGUGUUGCUGGAAACGAACUGAUCAUGGUUCAUUAGUCUCAAAACUGCUAGUCUUCUACAUGUCGCUGAAAUUUGGUUUUUAUGUUGUUACAAUACUCUUCUAUUUAUGUUGGACUUGUCAUUUGUAUUUGGUUAAAUUAUGUUUGUUGACAAUUAUCGAUAAUUAUUCAGUGUUAUUCAUUUCAUUUUCUUUGUUAGUGAA
rnacentral:lncRNA from 1 species